UGGGGAAUUUUGGACGAUGGGCGAAAGCCUGAUCCAGCCAUUUCGCGUGCAGGAUGAAGGCCCUCGGGUUGUAAACUGCUUUUGUACGGAACGAAAAAGCUUUCUCUAAUACAGGAAGUCCAUGACGGUACCGUAAGAAUAAGCACCGGCUAACUACGUGCCAGCAGCCGCGGUAAUACGUAGGGUGCAAGCGUUAAUCGGAAUUACUGGGCGUAAAGCGUGCGCAGGCGGUGAUGUAAGACAGUUGUGAAAUCCCCGGGCUCAACCUGGGAACUGCAUCUGUGACUGCAUCGCUGGAGUGCGGCAGAGGGGGAUGGAAUUCCGCGUGUAGCAGUGAAAUGCGUAGAUAUGCGGAGGAACACCGAUGGCGAAGGCAAUCCCCUGGGCCUGCACUGACGCUCAUGCACGAAAGCGUGGGGAGCAAACA
rnacentral:rRNA from 1 species